rnacentral:rRNA from 1 species
GGGGAAUAUUGCACAAUGGGCGCAAGCCUGAUGCAGCGACGCCGCGUGGGGGAUGACGGCCUUCGGGUUGUAAACCUCUUUCGACAGGGACGAAGCUUUUGUGGCGGUACCUGUAUAAGAAGCACCGGCUAACUACGUGCCAGCAGCCGCGGUAAUACGUAGGGUGCGAGCGUUGCCCGGAAUUACUGGGCGUAAAGAGCUCGUAGGUGGUUUGUCGCGUCGUCUGUGAAAUUCCGGGGCUUAACUUCGGGCGUGCAGGCGAUACGGGCAUAACUUGAGUGCUGUAGGGGAGACUGGAAUUCCUGGUGUAGCGGUGGAAUGCGCAGAUAUCAGGAGGAACACCGAUGGCGAAGGCAGGUCUCUGGGCAGUAACUGACGCUGAGGAGCGAAAGCAUGGGGAGCGAAC